CAGUCGCCGCGGUAAUACGUAGGUGGCAAGCGUUGUCCGGAAUUAUUGGGCGUAAAGGGCUCGCAGGCGGUUUCUUAAGUCUGAUGUGAAAGCCCCCGGCUCAACCGGGGAGGGUCAUUGGAAACUGGGAAACUUGAGUGCAGAAGAGGAGAGUGGAAUUCCACGUGUAGCGGUGAAAUGCGUAGAGAUGUGGAAGAACACCAGUGGCGAAGGCGACUCUCUGGUCUGUAACUGACGCUGAGGAGCGAAAGCGUGGGGAGCGAACAGGAUUAGAUACCCGUGUAGUCCCUGUCUCUUAUAC
rnacentral:rRNA from 1 species